GCUACAAUGGCCGGUACAAAGGGCUGCGAUGCCGUAAGGUGGAGCGAAUCCCAAAAAGCCGGUCUCAGUUCGGAUCGGGGUCUGCAACUCGACCCCGUGAAGUCGGAGUCGCUAGUAAUCGCAGAUCAGCAACGCUGCGGUGAAUACGUUCCCGGGCCUUGUACACACCGCCCGUCACGUCACGAAAGUCGGCAACACCCGAAGCCCAUGGCCUAACCCCGCAAGGGGAGGGAGUGGUCGAAGGUGGGGCUGGCGAUUGGGACGAAGUCGUAACAAGGUAGCCGUACCGGAAGGUGCGGCUGGAUCACCUCCUUUCUAAGGAGC
rnacentral:rRNA from 1 species